rnacentral:rRNA from 1 species
AGGACGAACGCUGGCGGCGUGCUUAACACAUGCGAGUCAAGGGGGCCCAGCAAUGGGCAACCGGCGAACGGGUGCGUAACACGUGAGCAACCUACCGAACUGUGGGGGAUAGCCGGCCUAACGGCCGAGUAAUACCGCAUACGCUCUCAGAGAGGCAUUUCUUUGAGACGGAAACCUACGGGACAGAUCGAGGGGCUCGCGGCCUAUCAGCUAGUUGGCGAGGUAACGCUCACCAAGGCAACGACGGUAGCUGGUCUGAGAGGAGUGGCCAGCCACGAUUGGGACUGACGAUACGGCCCAGACUCCGUAACGGGACGGACAGCGAGUGGGGAAUCGUUGACGA